rnacentral:misc_RNA from 1 species
AUCAAGUCAUACAAAUUAUUACUUGUAUGCCUGUAAGUUAAACAUGAUAUACUUUGAACUAAUUCAUUUUUUACUAGCAUUCCAUUACUAAAAUUCCGUGCUAUUUUACAAUUUUGAUGAUUUAGGGUAAUAGCAAGUUGUUCCUACUAAAUAUAAUACAUGAGACAUUUGUUUUUUAUUUUGCUCAUUUUUUUUGUUACACAUGUACAUUUAUAUUGGUGUUAUUAAAACACGAAAAGAAUGGAUCAGUU